GGAGGUGGCAAGCGUUGUUCGGAAUUACUGGGCGUAAAGGGCGCGUAGGCGGCAUGGCAAGUCAGAUGUGAAAGCCCCGAGCUUAACUCGGGAACUGCAUCUGAAACUGCUUUGCUUGAGUCCUGGAGGGGGUAGUGGAAUUCCCAGUGUAGCGGUGAAAUGCGUAGAUAUUGGGAGGAACACCUGCGGCGAAGGCGGCUACCUGGACAGUGACUGACGCUGAGGCGCGAAAGCUAGGGGAGCGAACGGGAUUAGAUACCCCGGUAGUCCUAGCUGUAAACGAUGGGCACUUGAUGUAGGGGGUUUUGACUCCCUCUCUGCCGGAGUUAACACGUUAAGUGCCCCGCCUGGGGAGUACGGUCGCAAGACUG
rnacentral:rRNA from 1 species